rnacentral:ncRNA from 1 species
GUAAAAGCAAACUCGCGGGAAACCCGAGGACGCAAAGCUAUGGGUCUACGUCUUCGAAAAAAAGGAUAAGACAGCCGGUUGCCA